CGAAAGCCUGACGGAGCAAGACCGCGUGAGGGAGGAAGGCUCUUGGGUUGUAAACCUCUUUUCUCAGGGAAGAAGCUCUGACGGUACCUGAGGAAUCAGCAUCGGCUAACUCCGUGCCAGCAGCCGCGGUAAGACGGAGGAUGCAAGCGUUAUCCGGAAUUAUUGGGCGUAAAGCGUCCGCAGGCGGUUAUUUAAGUCUGCUGUUAAAGCCCACAGCUCAACUGUGGAUCGGCAGUGGAAACUGAAUAACUUGAGAGCGGUAGGGGUAGAGGGAAUUCCCGGUGUAGUGGUGAAAUGCGUAGAUAUCGGGAAGAACACCAGUGGCGAAGGCGCUCUACUGGGCCGCAACUGACGCUGAGGGACGAAAGCUAGGGGAGCG
rnacentral:rRNA from 1 species